GACGAACGCUGGCGGCGUGCUUAACACAUGCAAGUCGAGCGGUAAGGCCCUUUCGGGGGUACACGAGCGGCGAACGGGUGAGUAACACGUGGGUGACCUGCCCUCAGCUCUGGGAUAAGCCUGGGAAACCGGGUCUAAUACCGGAUAUGACUCCAUGACGCAUGUUGUGGGGUGAAAGCCUUGUGCGGCUGAGGAUGGGCCCGCGGCCUAUCAGCUUGUUGGUGGGGUGAUGGCCUACCAAGGCGACGACGGGUAGCCGGCCUGAGAGGGCGACCGGCCACACUGGGACUGAGACACGGCCCAGACUCCUACGGGAGGCAGCAGUGGGGAAUCUUGCGCAAUGGGCGAAGCCUGACGCAGCGACGCCGCGUGA
rnacentral:rRNA from 1 species